rnacentral:rRNA from 1 species
UACAGAGGUCUCAAGCGUUGUUCGGAUUCAUUGGGCGUAAAGGGUGCGUAGGCGGCGCGGUAAGUCGGGUGUGAAAUCUCGGAGCUUAACUCCGAAACUGCAUUCGAUACUGCCGUGCUUGAGGACUGGAGAGGAGACUGGAAUUUACGGUGUAGCAGUGAAAUGCGUAGAUAUCGUGAGGAAGACCGGUGGCGAAGGCGGAUCUCUGGACAGUUCCUGACGCUGAGGCGCGAAGGCCAGGGGAGCAAACGGG